AAUCAUCUCAGUAGUCUCGGACCGCCCACUGCUGCGGUGCUAUUUUCCUCCGCCCACUGUCGUCAGCUCUGCCUCCACCGCCCACCGUCGUUUCCUCUGACGCAUCUCUCUGCCGUUGGAGGAACUUGGUGACAUGGCAAAGUAAAAAGCAAGAGGUGGUAGAUUGCAGCAGUGCAGCUCAACUACAGGCUCAAAUGCAGGCUCAACUACAAACUGAAAUAACUCAAAUGCAUGCUCAAAUGCAAGCUCAGAUUACAAGUGUGAUGGAUGAGUUGUGUUGAAACGGUAUGCUAUCAACUUCUAUGCCACGACGUCCAACUACUCAAGCUGAACAUUAUGCUAAUUCAAAUGCUAAAAAUAUAGGAGACGAUUAGAUUAUAUUUAUUAAUAUUUUUUGGUACUAUUUCUAACAAUGUAAUAUUGCACAGUGCUACACUUUUGUUAUUGAUAUUGAGUUUGAAUGUUUUAAUAUAAUAUAUUUUAUAAUUAUAUUAUUGAAGUACUAUAUUAUAGGUUUAAUGUAGGUAUGUGAUAUUAA